UAGGGAAUCUUCCACAAUGGACGCAAGUCUGAUGGAGCAACGCCGCGUGAGUGAAGAAGGUUUUCGGACCGUAAAGCUCUGUUGUUGGUGAAGAAGGAUAGAGGUAGUAACUGGCCUUUAUUUGACGGUAAUCAACCAGAAAGUCACGGCUAACUACGUGCCAGCAGCCGCGGUAAUACGUAGGUGGCAAGCGUUGUCCGGAUUUAUUGGGCGUAAAGCGAGCGCAGGCGGAAGAAUAAGUCUGAUGUGAAAGCCCUCGGCUUAACCGAGGAAUUGCAUCGGAAACUGUUUUCUUGAGUGCAGAAGAGGAGAGUAGAACUCCAUGUGUAGCGGUGGAAUGCGUAGAUAUAUGGAAGAAUACCGGUGGCGAAGGCGGCUCUCUGGUCUGCAACUGACGCUGAGGCUCGAAAGCAUGGGUAGCGAACAGGAUUAGAUACCCUGGUAGUCCAUGCCGUAAACGAUGAGUGCUAAGUGUUGGGAGGCUUCCGCCUCUCAGUGCUGCAGCUAACGCAUUAAGCACUCCGCCUGGGGGAGUACGACCGCAAGGUUGAAAC
rnacentral:rRNA from 1 species